GUGAUCCUGCCAGUAGUCAUAUGCUUGUCUCAAAGAUUAAGCCAUGCAUGUGUUGGUGCACACCACAUUAGGUGGCAAACUGCAUAUGGCUCAUUACAACAGUUAUAUUGCAAUUGAUAUGCAGUUUUACAUGGAUAGCUGUGGUAAUUCUACAUCUAAUACAUGAAAAAUUGUGACUUUUUGAAAUGAUGCACCCAUUCCCUGAGAAAUAAACUCAUGGCCUCCAUGAUAAUGUUGAGCAUUGAUGGGCUAGCCAAUCCCAUUGGUGAUACACGGGAUGUGACAUUGCAAUUUCUGACCUAUCAGCUUCUGAUGGUAUGAUAGUGGCUUACCAUGGCAAUGACGGGUGACGGGAAAUCAGGGUUUGAUUCCGGAGAGGGAGCUUGCAACAUGGCUACCACAUCUAAGGAAGGCAGCAGGCGCGUAAAUUACCCAAUCCUGACACAGGGAGGUAGUGACAAGAAAUAGCAAUACAAGGCAUCCAUGUCUUGUACUUGGAAUGAAUAGGUUCUACAACUUCCUUUCAGUAUCAAUUGGAGGGCAAGUCUGGUGCCAGCAGCCGCGGUAAUUCCAGCUCCAAUGGCAUAUAUUAAAGUUGUUGCAGUUAAAAAGCUCGUAGUUGAACUUGUGCUGAUGAUGGCUGGUCCGCCCUUUGGGUGAGUAUCUGGCACAGUGUCAGCAUAUGCACUGAGCUCUGCCUGCACUUGGUUGUGUGGGGUGACUCACGGCAUCUUUAUUUUGAAGAAAUUGAAGUGCUCGUAGCAGGUUUACAUGCUUUGCAUGCACCAGCAUGGAAUAAUGGAAUUUGCGAUGUGUUUGUUGGUUUCCAAAUUGCAGAAAUCAUCAUAGGGAUAGUUGGGGGCAUUUGAAUUUUGUUGUCAGAGGUGAAAUUYUUGGAUUUGCAAACGUCAAACAACGGCGAAAGCAUUUGCCAUAGAUGUUUUCUUUGAUCAAGAACGAAAGUUAGGGGAUCGAAGACGAUCAGAUACCGCCCUAGUCCUAACCAUAAACCAUGCCACCCAGGAAUUGAAUGUUGUUCUCAACUUGACACGUUCAGUACCUUUGAGAAAUCAAAGUUUUCGGGUUCUGGGGGGAGUAUGGUCGCAAGGCUGAAACUUAAAGGAAUUGACGGAAGGGCACCACCAGGAGUGGAGCCUGCGGCUUAAUUUGAUUCAACACGGGGAAACUUACCAGGACCAGACAUAACCAGGAUUGACAGAUUGAUAGCUCUUUCAUGAUCUUAUGGGUGGUGGUGCAUGGCCGUUCUUAGUUGGUGGAGUGAUUUGUCUGGUUAAUUCCGUUAACGAACGAGACCUUACUUUACUAAAUAAUUACAUGUACCUGCUGCUACAUGGGCAAUUCCUUAGAAAGACUUUGUGUGCUUAAUGCAAGGAAGUUUGAGGCAAUAACAGGUCUGUGAUGCCCUUAGAUGCCCUGGGCUGCACGCGCGCUACACUGAUGUGACCAACAAGUGUGCAUUCUUGCUUGGCUUGGCUUGGCAAUCUGCAAAUUGCAUCGUGAUGGGGAUUGUUCAUUGUCAUUAUUGAUCUCUAACGAGGAAUUCCUAGUAAACACAAAUCAACAGCUUGUGCUGAUUAUGUCCCUGCCCUUUGUACACACCGCCCGUCGCUCCUACCGAUUGAGUGGUCCGGUGAAUAAUUUUGAUUGUUGCUUCCUUAGCAAUGGGUGAACCAAUGAAAUAUCUAAUGAACCUUAUCACUUAGAGGAAGGAGAAGUCGUAACAAGGUUUCUGUAGGUGAACCUGCGGAAGGAUCA
rnacentral:rRNA from 1 species